rnacentral:rRNA from 1 species
GUAAAAGUCGUAACAAGGUCUCCGUUGGUGAACCAGCGGAGGGAUCAUUACCGAGUUUACAACUCCCAAACCCCUGUGAACAUACCUAUACGUUGCCUCGGCGGAUCAGCCCGCGCCCCGUAAAAAGGGACGGCCCGCCCGAGGACCCCUAAACUCUGUUUUUAGUGGAACUUCUGAGUAAAACAAACAAAUAAAUCAAAACUUUCAACAACGGAUCUCUUGGUUCUGGCAUCGAUGAAGAACGCAGCAAAAUGCGAUAAGUAAUGUGAAUUGCAGAAUUCAGUGAAUCAUCGAAUCUUUGAACGCACAUUGCGCCCGCCAGUAUUCUGGCGGGCAUGCCUGUUCGAGCGUCAUUUCAACCCUCAAGCUCAGCUUGGUGUUGGGACUCGCGGUAACCCGCGUUCCCCAAAUCGAUUGGCGGUCACGUCGAGCUUCCAUAGCGUAGUAAUCAUACACCUCGUUACUGGUAAUCGUCGCGGCCACGCCGUAAAACCCCAACUUCUGAAUGUUGACCUCGGAUCAGGUAGGAAUACCCGCUGAACUUAA